rnacentral:rRNA from 1 species
AUUGAACGCUGGCGGUAUGCUUAACACAUGCAAGUCGAACGGCAACAGAGUAAGGGGUUCCUCUUACGGGCGGAGGGGGGCGGAAGGGAGCGGAAUGCACCCGGAGCUAGGGGUUAAUGGGGGGUAAGGUAGGGUAACACACGCUAAUACCGGAUACUGAAUACGGGGGAAAGCAGGGGAACUUCUGGCCUUGCGCGAUUGAAUGAGCCGAUGUCGGAUUAGCUAGUUGGCGGGGUAAAGGCCCACCAAGGCGACGAUCCGUAGCUGGUCUGAGAGGAUGAUCAGCCACACUGGAACUGAGACACGGUCCAGACUCCUACGGGAGGCAGCAGUGGGGAAUAUUGGACAAUGGGCGCAAGCCUGAUCCAGCCAUGCCGCGUGGGUGAAGAAGGCCUUCGGGUUGUAAACCGCUUUUGUUGGGAAAGAAAAGCUGCAGGCUAAUACCCGGCUGUACUGACGGUACCUAAAGAAUAAGCACCGGCUAACUUCGUG